CUCCAGUCCCCACUCUACAGUAAACAUCCAAAUGGGCAGAAAACCCAGUCUGUAAGAAAACCUCCUGGCCCAGCAGCAGAGCCUGAUAUGAAUCCAACUCCAGUCUCUAGUUGCCUGACUUUUCCAUGAUGAAGUUGUGAUGAAAAACGGCCUCCGAGGGAAACCGUGAGAACGACCACCAGGCAGCUGUGGGUAUCUCCAAGGAGCCUUCAGCCUGGGAGCUUUCAAAUCCAGAAUGUCUCUGUUCAAAGAUGGCUCCAUCUUUUACCUUUCACGUGACCCUGCAGAAGACACUCAACCUGAGGACAUCUCAAACCUGAUAGCGUCACACACCCUGAAAGGUUAGUUAGAGGUCAUUCACCCCACCCCACUCAGGGAAUUCUCUUAUCUUAGGGGUCCCUGGGGAAGAGCAAAUCAUUUCACGGACCUCAGCAUUUCCUUCAGCAGAGGAAGAACCUGGAGUAACCCCUUCUAGAAUGAUCCCCCAAGUCACUGCAGGGCCUCCCAGGACAGCCUCAGCUUCUACCUCAGAGGGGAGAGAUGUGAGUGACAUCAGCAGCCUGAGGGCCAGAGUGACUGACAGCCACCCGCCCACUGUCAGGGUUCAGUCUCCAUCCUGAGCAGCCCCCCACCCCUGCAACCCUCUUGGGGUUCAAGAGUAACUAAAAGAACCAUUUCCUCUUGGGGCCAUUCUCGUUCCUCCUGAGACAGGAGGAUUUUUGAGAUGGAAACAUUCAGAACUCCCGGGAGGUUCAGUAAAGAGAAGCAGCAGGGAGUAGGCUCAGAGGUGGAGCAGAAGGACCAUUUUGAUGGGGCUAAGAAGUAUCCAAGGAAGGCCAGAAAAGGCCUGAGACCAGACCUGUCCCAUCUUCCCAAGACAUCGGGAGCAGAUCUACCUUCUCACAGGCUUGUGUCGCAGCCGUGAAGGAGACUCACGUGCACACUGAGGGGUUUGGAGGCUUUAAUGAGCCUCAGCACGGUGUGGAGCUCAGUAUUCUGGGCGUCGUCCUUCUGGAAAUAGACUUGACCUCCACAGCUCAUGCCUAUGGCCCAGGCGGUCAGCAAGGCCACAACGGCAACCCCUUACAUCAGCUUAAAGUGCCUGCAAGGUCACAGCCGCUCUCCUCCAUCUCUCUCUCUCUGCUGGGAUUUCUUCACAGUCCUUACUUGGCAAGCAGUGGGAGCUCCAAGCUCCAAUCUUCAUUUCACGUAGGUCGUCAGCCUGGUAGCUAACUGAAGAGCCACAGCCUGCAAUCACAGUUAGCAAUGGAAGGUGGGGUGGCUCAGUACUCACGGGCAGUGUCACGCAGGAGUGACCCAGGACACCUCACAAACGUGCCCUAUCACCUGACAAAGCCAAUUUGAGGAGAUGGCCCUUGGAGCGCCAGCACACAGCUACUUUAAUUGAAACUGUCCUCCCCGCCCAGGGUCUCUCAGUGUUCGCCUGUCCUUCCAAGUAGAAGCAAUUAAAAGGUGACAGACGCCCUAACACACCAAAGGAGUGGCUCCACAAUGUGACACUUUCCCACAGAGAUGUACCGUCGAGUGGCCCUUACCCAACUUCUAGAAAAGCAGCCAGUAAAAGGCAGUCGCCAUGAGGGCAUAUACGAGCAGUCGUCAGGAUCUUGCAGUAGUCUCAGAAGACAAUGCCUGAGCUCUGGGAUCUGCUUUCAAACAAACCCUCAAAGACUAGGGAGAGCAGGGGAGCCGAGCCCGGUGACCGCUGAAUCCAGGUUGUGGUACAUUCCAGUCACCACGGCUGGGAGAGCUGUGUUGGACUCUGAUUGAGCUCAGCUUGUUUUCUGAGGCUGCAUUUUACUUGUGGAAGUGUCUCUGGAUCCUGUAACGCAGCAUGGACGCACACCCUGCCCACCUGUCUGCAUCGUAACCAGCAGGCCAGGGCGUUUCACACGGUCUGAGCCCACGACUGUCGGUGGCAACAUGCCUUGUGUGUCUGAGACGCUCCUGACACCCGGGCCAAGUCUUCCUGCAGGGCUAUAUCCAUCCAAAGCUACAACUCGAUCAUUACAACAGUCACUGGUUGGUGUGCGUGGCUGAGCAAAGACGGUGGGGCCUCUCCCUAGCCUUACCUCAAGACCCCAGGGCAGUUUUGAAUCAGAAAUAAUGGUUACUAUUGCUCCUACGGAA